rnacentral:rRNA from 1 species
UACGGAGGGCGCAAGCGUUAAUCGGAAUCACUGGGCGUAAAGCGCGCGUAGGCGGCCAGAUAAGUCGGGCGUGAAAGCCCUCGGCUCAACCGAGGAACUGCGUUCGAUACUGUUUGGCUUGAGUCCUGGAGAGGGUGGCGGAAUUCCGGGUGUAGGAGUGAAAUCCGUAGAUAUCCGGAGGAACACCGGUGGCGAAGGCGGCCACCUGGACAGUUACUGACGCUGAGGUGCGAAAGCGUGGGGAGCAAACAGG